UCCUGUUUAGCUCAAAUGGUAGAGCGCUCCACCUGUAAUGGAGAGGUCCCUGGUUCGAUACCAAAACCAGGCA
rnacentral:tRNA from 1 species